CUGACCCUCGCUCUGGCUACAGGGCUCGGAGGAUCCUGUCGUAUAACAUCGUGUUGACCGAUAGAUCUCUAACGCCAGGCCCUCAAGAUUUCCCUUUCCUCGGGAAUCGCAGGAAGGAUGGGUUGGCCGAGGUCAGCGCUGCGGCUUCUUCUGUGCGUGGUCAUCGCCGCCCACUCCGCGCGCAGCGCCUCUACCACAACCACUGAAGCCCCAACAACCACUGAAGCUGCCACAACCACCGUAGCUCCUACAACUACUGAGCCC